AUCCCGUGAUUAGGGCACUUUCUAAGCAAGUCCUUGAACCUCUUCCAAGCUUCAUAAAGAGAUUCGUUGUCUUGUUGGAUGAAGUUGUUGAAUUUAGAUCUCAGCUU